rnacentral:ncRNA from 1 species
UAGGUCGGAGUGGGAGACACCGCCGGAAUGGCAGUCCCCCACUACAUGGCAUCCGGAAUGGGAGGAAUCAGAUCGGCAGGAGAUCUGGUCGCCCGUAUG